rnacentral:rRNA from 1 species
AGUGAACGCUGGCGGCAGGCCUAAUACAUGCAAGUCGAACGGCAGCACAGCAGAGCUUGCUCUGUGGGUGGCGAGUGGCGGACGGGUGAGGAAUACGUGGGAAUCUGCCCAGUCGUGGGGGAUAACGUAGGGAAACUUACGCUAAUACCGCAUGCGCCCUUCGGGGGAAAGCCGGGGACCUUCGGGCCUGGCGCGAUUGGAUGAGCCCACGUCGGAUUAGCUAGUUGGCGGGGUAAAGGCCCACCAAGGCGACGAUCCGUAGCUGGUCUGAGAGGAUGAUCAGCCACACUGGAACUGAGACACGGUCCAGACUCCUACGGGAGGCAGCAGUAGGGAAUAUUGGACAAUGGGCGCAAGCCUGAUCCAGCCAUGCCGCGUGAGUGAAGAAGGCCCUCGGGUUGUAAAGCUCUUUUGUCCGGAAAGAAAAGCGCCGGGUUAAUACCCUGGUGUCCUGACGGUACCGGAAGAAUAAGCACCGGCUAACGUUCGUGCCAGCAGCCGCGGUAA